UGCCAGCCGCCGCGGUAAUACGAAGGGUGCAAGCGUUGUUCGGAUUUAUUGGGCGUAAAGAGCUCGUAGGCGGAUUGAUAAGUCAGAUGUGAAAUCUCGGGGCUUAACCCCGAAACUGCGUCUGAAACUGUUAGUCUAGAAUCUCGGAGAGGUGAGGGGAAUUUCGCAUGUAGGGGUAAAAUCCGUAGAGAUGCGAAGGAACAUCGGAGGCGAAGGCGCCUCACUGGACGAGUAUUGACGCUGAGGAGCGAAAGCGUGGGUAGCAAACAGGAUUAGAUA
rnacentral:rRNA from 1 species